UGGGCUUGACAUGUCCGGAAACCUGCAGAGAUGCGGGAGUGCCCUUCGGGGAAUCGGAACA
rnacentral:rRNA from 1 species